rnacentral:rRNA from 1 species
CGAUGAGUAGGGCGGGACACGUGGUAUCCUGUCUGAAUAUGGGGGGACCAUCCUCCAAGGCUAAAUACUCCUGACUGACCGAUAGUGAACCAGUACCGUGAGGGAAAGGCGAAAAGAACCCCGGCGAGGGGAGUGAAAAAGAACCUGAAACCGUGUACGUACAAGCAGUGGGAGCACGCUUAGGCGUGUGACUGCGUACCUUUUGUAUAAUGGGUCAGCGACUUAUAUUCUGUAGCAAGGUUAACCGAAUAGGGGAGCCGAAGGGAAACCGAGUCUUAACUGGGCGUUAAGUUGCAGGGUAUAGACCCGAAACCCGGUGAUCUAGCCAUGGGCAGGUUGAAGGUUGGGUAACACUAACUGGAGGACCGAACCGACUAAUGUUGAAAAAUUAGCGGAUGACUUGUGGCUGGGGGUGAAAGGCCAAUCAAACCGGGAGAUAGCUGGUUCUCCCCGAAAGCUAUUUAGGUAGCGCCUCGUGAAUUCAUCUCCGGGGGUAGAGCACUGUUUCGGCAAGGGGGUCAUCCCGACUUACCAACCCGAUGCAAACUGCGAAUACCGGAGAAUGUUAUCACGGGAGACACACGGCGGGUGCUAACGUCCGUCGUGAAGAGGGAAACAACCCAGACCGCCAGCUAAGGUCCCAAAGUCAUGGUUAAGUGGGAAACGAUGUGGGAAGGCCCAGACAGCCAGGAUGUUGGCUUAGAAGCAGCCAUCAUUUAAAGAAAGCGUAAUAGCUCACUGGUCGAGUCGGCCUGCGCGGAAGAUGUAACGGGGCUAAACCAUGCACCGAAGCUGCGGCAGCGACGCUGAUGCGUUGUUGGGUAGGGGAGCGUUCUGUAAGCCUGUGAAGGUGUGCUGUGAGGCAUGCUGGAGGUAUCAGAAGUGCGAAUGCUGACAUAAGUAACGAUAAAGCGGGUGAAAAGCCCGCUCGCCGGAAGACCAAGGGUUCCUGUCCAACGUUAAUCGGGGCAGGGUGAGUCGACCCCUAAGGCGAGGCCGAAAGGCGUAGUCGAUGGGAAACAGGUUAAUAUUCCUGUACUUGGUGUUACUGCGAAGGGGGGACGGAGAAGGCUAUGUUGGCCGGGCGACGGUUGUCCCGGUUUAAGCGUGUAGGCUGGUUUUCCAGGCAAAUCCGGAAAAUCAAGGCUGAGGCGUGAUGACGAGGCACUACGGUGCUGAAGCAACAAAUGCCCUGCUUCCAGGAAAAGCCUCUAAGCAUCAGGUAACAUCAAAUCGUACCCCAAACCGACACAGGUGGUCAGGUAGAGAAUACCAAGGCGCUUGAGAGAACUCGGGUGAAGGAACUAGGCAAAAUGGUGCCGUAACUUCGGGAGAAGGCACGCUGAUAUGUAGGUGAAGCGACUUGCUCGUGGAGCUGAAAUCAGUCGAAGAUACCAGCUGGCUGCAACUGUUUAUUAAAAACACAGCACUGUGCAAACACGAAAGUGGACGUAUACGGUGUGACGCCUGCCCGGUGCCGGAAGGUUAAUUGAUGGGGUCAGCGCAAGCGAAGCUCUUGAUCGAAGCCCCGGUAAACGGCGGCCGUAACUAUAACGGUCCUAAGGUAGCGAAAUUCCUUGUCGGGUAAGUUCCGACCUGCACGAAUGGCGUAAUGAUGGCCAGGCUGUCUCCACCCGAGACUCAGUGAAAUUGAACUCGCUGUGAAGAUGCAGUGUACCCGCGGCAAGACGGAAAGACCCCGUGAACCUUUACUAUAGCUUGACACUGAACAUUGAGCCUUGAUGUGUAGGAUAGGUGGGAGGCUUUGAAGUGUGGACGCCAGUCUGCAUGGAGCCGGCCUUGAAAUACCACCCUUUAAUGUUUGAUGUUCUAACGUUGACCCGUGAUCCGGGUUGCGGACAGUGUCUGGUGGGUAGUUUGACUGGGGCGGUCUCCUCCUAAAGAGUAACGGAGGAGCACGAAGGUUGGCUAAUCCUGGUCGGACAUCAGGAGGUUAGUGCAAUGGCAUAAGCCAGCUUGACUGCGAGCGUGACGGCGCGAGCAGGUGCGAAAGCAGGUCAUAGUGAUCCGGUGGUUCUGAAUGGAAGGGCCAUCGCUCAACGGAUAAAAGGUACUCCGGGGAUAACAGGCUGAUACCGCCCAAGAGUUCAUAUCGACGGCGGUGUUUGGCACCUCGAUGUCGGCUCAUCACAUCCUGGGGCUGAAGUAGGUCCCAAGGGUAUGGCUGUUCGCCAUUUAAAGUGGUACGCGAGCUGGGUUUAGAACGUCGUGAGACAGUUCGGUCCCUAUCUGCCGUGG